rnacentral:lncRNA from 1 species
CUAAUGUUGAAGUGUAAAUAAUUGGAUGUGCUCAGUUAUUUACACAUAUGUUCAAAAUAGAUGGAGCAUUUUAGCACAUAAAUACUUUAUGUUUGGUUAAACAACGUGCAUUAAAACAUAAAUGAAUUUAUGUGCGGUAUGCGGAAGGUAUUUGAAAGAUUGCGCAUUAAUUUUAUAAGGGAGAUUUUGUAUAAGUUGUAUACUAUUGCCGUUAACCGGUUUGGCGGUCAGUAUAAAAGUAAAUUGCACGGGUUUUUAGUUAUCGAGACUGGGCAGUGACCACAUACGCGCACGUCAUCUAUAUAUACAGUCCGCCAAAAGUUAAGCACCACCGAAAUAUAACUGGCAAUAUUUUUUUAACUAUUGCAAAAAAAAUAUUAAUGUUUGGUGUUAUGAAUUACCUUUAACAUACACUAAAAAAAUUCAUUACGACCAAAAAGAUUGCACUCCGAUAAAGCAGUCAACCAACCUUUUAUCAAAGGUCAUAUGUGCGUUUAUAAAUACACUGUUUCUCCAGGUGGUCGUGUAAGUGUUCGUACAUUGGUCCGUCGACUUUAUAGAGGCAAACGAAGAGCACGUCGUGGUGUAUAGAGACCUGUACCUUCAAGCAGGCACUCUAUCGUCAGGUUUAAAUGGGAUAAUGAACAUCUAUGCUUGAACAUAAGAACCUGACAAAACACUCAUUGGUCAGAUGGGAGUCAGUUUCCUUUACUGCCAGAAGACGCCAUAAUACGAAUUUCGCAGGGGAAAAAAGCGGCCUAUGACCAAAAACAAUAUUUGCACAAGGACUGCAUGCAUUGCUGGUUGUGUUCCAGUACGGGGUUGCUUCUUAUACCGUUAUAAGCUGGGUAUGCAUAUUCUGCAGGGUAACAUAAACGGACAGACAUACAGAGAUUUGGUGCCUUAACAUAUUGUAGUCCGUCAUUUUAGUAAUCCCCCACUUGCGUCAACAUUGUCAAGACACUUGUACCUGAAUGACAACGCUAUACCACGCAGGGCAAGAAAUUUAACCGAGUCCAAAGAGCAACCAGCCAUUUACACUAAUUUUUGGCCUUCCUUGACUCCAUGCAUGAACCCUAUCAAACAUGUCUGAGAUGCCAUUGUCGGAAAUCUCAAUCGCAGAG